CUUAGUUAAUUCUAUUAAUAGUUAUAUACUUAUCUUAAAGAUUAAGCUAUAUAUAUCUAAGUAUAAGUAAUUAUAUAACGAAAUUAUAAAUAGCUUAUUAUAUAAGUUAUUAUUUAUUUAAUAAUACCUUACUACUUAGAUAAUUAUAAUAAUUCUAAAGCUAAUAUAUAUUAAAAAUCCCGACUUCGGAAGGGAUAUAUUUAUUAGAUUAAAAACUAAUACUCUUCGAGGCUUACUAGUAAUUUAUAAUAACUUCUCGAAUCGUAUAGCCUUACGCUAGCGAUAGUUUAUUUAAAUUUCUUCCUUAUUAACUUUUAAUACUAAAAUAGUAUUUUAGUAUAGUUAUAAUAAGUAAUAGAGGGUUAAGGCUCGACCUUAGAGAAAAAGCUUAAGAAAUAGCUAUUAUAUCUAAGAAAGGUAAUAGGUAUAUAAAUUACCUAAUCCUAACUCGGGGAGGUAGUAAUAAUAAAUACUAAUAUAAGGCUUUUUUAAGUCUUAUAAUUAGAAUAAGUAUAAUUUAAAUCCCUUAAUAAGGAAUAAUUAGAAAGUAAGUCUAGUAUUAGUAGCCGUAGUAAUUCUAGCUUUAAUAAUAUAUAUUAAAGUUAUUAUAAUUAAAAAGCUUAUAGUAAAACCUUAAGCCUAGCUAGCUAGUCUACCUUACUACGUAUACUAGUCUAGCUAAGCCUUUCCCUCUAUAAAACCGUAUGCCUUUUACUAAGUAUACCGGGGAAAUAAGACUUUUACUUUAAAAAAAUUAGAAUACUUUAAGCAGGCUUAUGCUUAAAUAUAUUAGUAUAGAAUAAUAGAAUAAGACGUAUAGUUCUAUUUUAUUAGUUUUUAAGACUAUUAUAAUAAUUAAUAAGGAUAGUCGGGGGUAUUAGUAUUUAAUUAUUAAAAGUAAAAUUCUUAGAUUUAUUAAAGACUAACUAUUAUAAAAGUAUUUAUUAAGGAUGUUUUUAUUUAUUAAGAAUAAAAGUUAGGAGAUCGAAGACGAUUAGAUAUUGUUAUAGUCUUAACUAUAAAAUAUGCCGACUAGGGAUUAGACGAUAUUAUUUUUUAACUUAUUUAGUAUUUUACGAGAAAUUAAAGUGCUUAGGCUUUAGGGGGAGUAUAAUCGCAAGGCUAAAACUUAAAGAAAUUAACGAAAAAGUACUACUAAGGGUAAAGCCUACGGCUUAAUUUAACUUAAUACGGGGAAACUUACUAAGUCUAGAUAUAAUAAGGAUUAAUAAAUUAAAAGCUUUUCUUAAAUUUAUAAGUAGUAAUAUAUAGCCGUUCUUAGUUAGUAAAGUAAUUUAUCUACUUAAUUACGAUAACGAAUAAGACCUUAACUUGCUAAAUAGCUUAUAUUACUUUAGUAGUAUACUAGCUUCUUAAAAAGACUAUCGGCUUAAGCUAAUAAAAGUUUAAGGUAAUAAUAGGUUUAUAAUACCUUUAGAUAUUCUAAGCCGUACGCGCGUUAUAUUAAUAAAGCUAGUAAGUACUCCCUUAACCGGAAGGUCUAGGUAAUCUUAUUAAACUUUAUUAUACUAAGGAUAAAGUAUUAUAAUUAUUACUUUUUAAUAAGGAAUCCUUAGUAAGUAUAAGUUAUUAGCUUAUAUUAAUUACGUCCCUACCUUUUAUAUAUACUACUUAUUACUACUACCGAUUAAAUAGCUUAGUAAGGCUUUUAGACUAGCUUAGAAAGGUAAGUAACUACUACUUAAGGCUAGAAAGUUAUCUAAACUUAGUUAUUUAGAAGAAGUAAAAGUCGUAAUAAAGUCUCCGUUAGUAAACUAAUAAAGG
rnacentral:rRNA from 1 species